rnacentral:rRNA from 1 species
GACGGAGGAUGCAAGCGUUAUCCGGAAUUAUUGGGCGUAAAGCGUCCGCAGGUGGUUAAACAAGUCCGCCCUCAAAGAGUGGAGCUCAACUCCAUAGAGGGGGUAGAAACUGUGUAACUAGAGGAUGGUAGAGGUAGGAGGAAUUCCCAGUGUAGCGGUGAAAUGCGUAGAUAUUGGGAAGAACACCCGCAGCGAAAGCGUCCUACUGGGCCAGACCUGACACUGAGGGACGAAAGCUAGGGGAGCGAAAGGG